UUUUAAAGGUCAAUACUCAAUACUAAUAAUUAAUAUAUAGAUAGGUAUGCACCUAUCUAUCUAUGCAUAUGCAGUGAAACGACAACGUUUUUUUCAUCUAAUAUCACCAACGAAUUCAGCAUAUACUCAUUUUUCUCUCUCCUCUGAUCUCUCGCCCUUUUCUCUCUCAUCAAACCUCAUUUUCUCUCUCCAUUUUUGGCAACCAUGGAGAAUCACCGGCACCACCACCACCGUUGCUUCUUCGUCCUCUCCUCGUCCUUCUCGCCUCCUUCACCAUGGCCGCACUCGCAGCUCCUCCUCAUCCGAUGAUGAUGCUUUCGUCGGAGUUCCGAUCUCUUAGUUGUAUGUUCAGAUCUACGUUUCUGUUAGGGUUUCGAAGGUUCAUUUUCCGUGAAGCGAUCUAUUGGUAGGAGGAUGUCGGAGGUGGAUGAGGAGUCAAAGCAGGUGAACUAUAUGGUUGUUAGGGAUGAGAAUAACAAUGUCAAGCUCGCGGAAGAGAUCUUUGGUCAAGAAGAAAAAAGUUAAUAAGAAUGCGACAACAACAAAAAAGCUGAUUUAGAAAUGGAAGAUAUGAUAUUCAGAGAGGCUGCAAGAAUUGAAGAAGAAUUGAAGGCGGAGCAACCAAAAAAGAAUCUGCAAAUAAGGAAGAAGAAGAAAGAGAAAAGAGACUGUUGUAGCGAAAAAGGUGGAAGUCGAAAGGAAAGAAUCAUAAAAAUUAGAAGCAUAGAAAGAGAAAAGAGGCAACAACCUCUAAAAUAGAGGAAGCAGUGAAUGUUCAUUAAAUUACUUUAAAUACCAAUUUGUGUGUUUGCAGCUUA